GAGUUUGAUUCUGGCUCACGAUGAACGCUGGCGGCGUGCUUAACACAUGCAAGUCGAACGGAGCCUUUCGGGGCUUAGUGGCGGACGGGUGAGUAACGCGUGAGGAUCUGCCCUUAGGACGGGGACAACAGUUGGAAACGACUGCUAAUACCGGAUAUGGCGAGAGCUGAAAGAUUGUAUCGCCUGAGGAUGAACUCGCGUCUGAUUAGCUAGUUGGUGGGGUAAUAGCUUACCAAGGCGACGAUCAGUAGCUGGUCUGAGUGGAUGAUCAGCCACACUGGGACUGAGACACGGCCCAGACUCCUACGGGAGGCAGCAGUGGGGAAUUUUCCGCAAUGGGGGCAACCCUGACGGAGCAACGCCGCGUGCGGGAGGACGGUUUGUGGACUGUAAACCGCUU
rnacentral:rRNA from 1 species